rnacentral:rRNA from 1 species
AAUAGAUACCCCGGUAGUCCACGCCGUAAACGAUGAGUGCUAAGUGUUAGAGGGUUUCCGCCCUUUAGUGCUGCAGCAAACGCAUUAAGCACUCCGCCUGGGGAGUACGGCCGCAAGGCUGAAACUCAAAGGAAUUGACGGGGGCCCGCACAAGCGGUGGAGCAUGUGGUUUAAUUCGAAGCAACGCGAAGAACCUUACCAGGUCUUGACAUCUCCUGACAAUCCUAGAGAUAGGACGUUCCCCUUCGGGGGACAGGAUGACAGGUGGUGCAUGGUUGUCGUCAGCUCGUGUCGUGAGAUGUUGGGUUAAGUCCCGCAACGAGCGCAACCCUUGAUCUUAGUUGCCAGCAUUUAGUUGGGCACUCUAAGGUGACUGCCGGUGACAAACCGGAGGAAGGUGGGGAUGACGUCAAAUCAUCAUGCCCCUUAUGACCUGGGCUACACACGUGCUACAAUGGAUGGUACAAAGGGCAGCAAAGCGGCGACGCCUAGCAAAUCCCAUAAAACCAUUCUCAGUUCGGAUUGUAGG